UUGGUCAUUAGUGGUCGUGUAGUCUGUAUGUCUUGGCUGCCAACAUUCACAAAACACAAUUCACAAGCACACACUUCAAGUCUUCAAUUGCAUCCUCGCUGCAGGCUUGCAGCCUACUUGAUUCAAUCGUAAAUCGUUCUUCGCUUCUCGCAAUCUCGCUACAUCGCUCCAGCCUCCAGCUUAACUCGUUCUUACUUCAAUCGCACACUUCAAUCGACGACGUGUUCCAUUCAGUGUCCAAUUGUCCAUAGUGAACACCGACGACUCGUUUCUUUGGAUCCGACAUACCUGCGACGACUUCUCCGACUCCACAACGAGUCAGCGACAACUUCUCCGGCUCCACAGGUCCGAUUCUCUAUUUCCUUUCGCUAUGCUGAUUAACGAUUCCUUAUUACCUAUGCUGAUUAACGAUUCCUUCUUUCCUUUCGCUAUGAGAUGCUUUCAUUUACUCACUGAUGACACGAUAUUAGGAGCAAGGCUAGCCAAUAAUGGAACAACAACAGCGCAUAGAUUUGGAUCGUGAAAGUGAUGUUGAGCAACAGAACACUCAAUCGGUUGGGGACAAAAGAACAGCAAACGUUUGGCAUAAAUAUGUUGAUAUUAGAGAUCCAAAGACUAACAAAAUUGUAAAAGCCCAAUGUAAAUUUUGCUCUAGAGUGUUGAACGUUGUUACAAAAAAUGGUACUUCUGAUGAUCGUGGGAAGGCGAAUGCUUGAUUGUACACAUUCUCCUGCAGUUUCUGACUCCGGAUAUUUUGGGACACUUUAAUAUUUUUACGAUGAUUUGUAUUUGAUACUUGAGAUUUUCUUGAGAUAGGUUUUAUAAACAAUGUUUUUAGUUAAUUAAAAAUGAAAAUUUUGUUUUGAAAA